rnacentral:misc_RNA from 1 species
AACAAGGCGUACCUGCGGACCUGCGGAGGGAUCAUUAUCCAUCCAAAACCAGCUGCGGUCGCGGCCCCACGCUUACCCGUGGCGGUACGCGCCGCACGUCUGCACCCUUUUUUUACGAGUACCUUCGUUCUCCCUCGGCAGGGCAACCUGCCGUUGGAACCAUACAAAACCUUUUUUUGCAUCUAGCAUUACCUGUUCUGAUACAAACAAUCGUUACAACUUUCAGCAACGGAUCUCAGA